AUCGUUAUUAAUAUUCACAUCACAAUAUUCACAUCACACUUGGAGCCGCUGUAAGACGUUGCAGUGUCUACACUACCAAGUGGGGCCUUACACCACUCCGCCCGAAGCUUGAGCUCAGAGACGCCCGCCGAGGAAAGUCUAACUCCAUCAUACUACCACGGUCAUAAAGUGUGCACAACCACCAUUUGCCUUACUGCAGUAAAAAUAAAGCAAAUCCAGUCUCCAAAGUAAAGAUCACUGCUACCAUCUCGUGGCAGAAAUGGACAUUUUCUCCAAUGAUGUAUGCACUAAUAUCUCAAAUUGAACAGUAACGUUUUGCACUAAAAAAGAAACGAGAAAUAACUGCGCUGUUACUUAUAUACAGGACAGAGAAUAAUAUUUGUUAGCGUACUGUAUCAUAUGUGAUGUUAUCUUGUUGCUAGGGUUAGCUAACACUAAUAAAUUAAAAUACAUUUGGUGAACCGCCUCUUUGUGUAUAGCAGAACGCAAUAACCUCGUCUUGAUAAAAAAAAAAUAGUUUAGGCAUAUUCGCGCAGGCUGAUGUCUAAUAAAACGGCUUCUCUGUAAUAAAACCUUCCAAGGGCCAGCAAUAAAUAAACAUGAGCUAGUAGAUCAGUUCCCCCCACCACCGCCUUUGUUUCAUAUUUGCUUCACACACGGCGAUAUGAUCACAAUAUUGAAUAAUGUAUUUAAAAAAAAAAUACAAUCAUGCUACCGUGGCAUGUGGGAAUAUAAAGUACGAGGCUUUAUACUGACUGCAUUAUAAUGGCCAGUUUAAACCUCCAGGAUUGCACACUUUCUUUUUCUUCUAAAGGACUCCAUAUUACAGAAACCUAUUUCCACCACUUAAAAAUUCCCAGAUACUAAAUUAUGAUGUGCUAAGUUAUAAUUCUGAGAUUCUCAUAUAGUUAAUGCCAAAUUUUUACGUACAAAAGACAUUUAAAAUAAUUUUUUCACAGCUCCACAGAUUUCACUUUACCAUACAUUUCCUGCCAAUUAGUGUUAAUUAGGGUAUCUACUUUAUUUCCAUAUGAGGUAAUUUCAAAAUAAUAGCUAAGAUACAGCUUGUCAGCAUUUAUUUAUGAUAGAAAAUUUUCAGUAGGUCAAAAGAUUACACACACUUUGUGCCUCAUUUAUCAAUCUUUAAGUAAAGUUGUGUAAACGUUUGUGUAAGCCAAACUAAACUGAACUAAAAAUUUCUGCCUGAUUUAAAAACCUUUCAGAAACGCUGAUUUUCUUUGUAUUCACAUAAGUAUGUUGAUAAAUGGCCAGUACAUUUUCAGGUGUGUGCAUGGCACAGCUGAUUUGCGUUUACCGACACCCACAAAACUCAAUAAAAGGCAAAGCUCACAGAGCGGAAAGCACAACGUGACUACUAAAUGGCCAAAAAAGAUGAAUUUCUCAGAGGCAGAAGUGGCCAUGCUUUUGACUCACAUCUAUGAAAAUAAAAAAUAUUAUUUAGCCGUGUAACCAGUUUAGUCACAGCACCUGAAAAGGCCAAAAUUUGGAGAGAAACUAAGAGUACUCGCCGGUGUUGUCUUGGAAAAGCAGGACGCUAUGCUCAGAGCGGUGCGAGACCAUUCAGCGCAUUAGGUUAAUAGCAGUAUUUUAUAAUCAAUGCGAAAUUUGAUUGGGAGCCAAUGCAGUGUGGAUAAGAUAGGGGUGAUGUGGUAAUGUCUUCUGGUUCUAGUAAUGACUCUGUCUGCUGCAUUCUGGACUAACUGGAGCUUGUUUAUGCACCUACUUGAACACCCAGACAGCAAGGCAUUACAAUAAUCCAACCUAGAGGUAAAAAAAAAAAAGGAUGAACUAUUUUUUUCUGCAUUGUGUAGCAACAUAAUAUUUCUUAUCUGAUUUGAAGAGUUGAAAUCUUAUCUUAUCUGAGAGAAAAGAAGGCUAUCCUAGUGUUAUUAUCUACAUGAGCUUCAAAUGAAAGACUAGAGUCAAUAAUCACACCAAGGUCUUUUACUGCUGCACAUGAUGAAACAGAAAGGCCAUCCAGAGUUACUAUGUAAUCAGAAAGCUUACUUCUACGUGCUUGUGGUCCAAGUACAAGUACUUCUGUCUUGUCAGAAUUAAGUUGAAGGAAGUUAAUAAGCAUCCAGUGUCAUGUGUUUUACACAUUCCUCAACUUUAUUAAGCUGGCGUCUCUCAUCUGGCUUUGCUGAAACAUACAACUGUGUGACUUGAAAGCUAAUACCAUGUUUACGAAGAAUUUUAUCCAGAGGUAGCAUAUACAGAGAAAAAAGUAGUGGGCCUAAAACAGAAACUUGUGCAACACCAAACUUUACCUUAGUAUGUAUAGUCAAGACACCAUUUACAUCUACAGACUGAUAACAAUCAGUCAAAUAAGACCUGAGUCAGGAGAGGCCCGUUCCCUUAACUGCAACAACAUUUUUUAGUCUUUCAAGGAGCAUAGUAUGAUCAGUGGUGUCAAAAGCUACACUAAGGUCAAGCAACACAAGCAAGGCGACCCAACACUGAUCAGAGGCCAUUAGUAGGUCAUUUAGCACUUUAACCAGCACUGUCUCUGUGCUAUGGUGAGGCCUAAAUCCUGACUGAUGGAUUUCAUGAAUGUUAUUUCUGUGGAGGUAUGAGCAUUACUGCUGUGCUACAAACUUUUCUUGGAUACUGGAGCUAAUGGGGAAGUUUGAUAUUGGCCUAUAGUUGGAGAGCUGAUGGGGUCGAGGCCAGAUUUUUAAUCAGGGGUUAUAAACUGCUAGUUUAAAAGAUUUAGGUACACAACUAGUGUUAAGGGAAGAAAUGAUUAUUCUUCUUUUUGAAGAAACAUAUAGAUAAGGCAUCUAGUACACAAGUUGAUAACUUUGAUGAGGAAAUUAGUGAAAUUAGUUCUCUUGCAGGGGAGUAAAACAUUCUAAUCACUGAUCUGAUAUAGUUAUAUUGUUAUCUACGUGGUUAGUUAUCAAAUUGUCUGGCUUUAAAAUUUAUUCUCUGAAAUUUUUGCCUGAUAAUUUCAAUUUUGUCAUUGAAAAAAAUUCAUGAAGUCAUUGCUACUACAUACUGAUGGUGUGCAUGCUUCUGUAGUGGUCUUAUUCCUACUUAGGGGCCAAGCAUUGCAGGUGCAUAGGCACCUAUUGUAAUCUUUAGUGUUUUAAUUAUUAUUCUGCUUCUUCUUGUUCUUCUUCUUCACUGUAAAAAAUCCAACUUGCAAAAAGUUUUAAUAACUAUCAUCUAUUAGUUAACUGGACAAUAAAACUAAAAAAAGUUGACUUAAAAAGUGGAAAUAAGUUGGUUCAAAAAUUGUCUGACCAACUUAAUUUGAACUGUUGACUGGAUAUGCACAUGCACGUUUACAAGCACACAUGUUGGUUUGGUGGUUGGAGCAUGCGCACUGUAACAUGCAGACGCUGGAGCUCACAUGGAAUGAUAGCGCCAUUUUGAUCGUCAGUCAAACGUGCAGCACGAGAUCACGACAAACUUCAUCUUUUCAAACUUCGUUUAAAAAAAAGCUGUUGGAGCUCACAUGGAAUGAUAGCGCCAUGCAGCACGAGAUCACGACAAACUUCAUCUUUUCAAACUUCAUCAUUUAAAAUAGGUGAGUUCAAACGCAUUACCAAUGUGGACCUCCUCGAUACAUUCAGAUCAUCGUUACACCAACAUACACCACAACUUCUGAAGUUGUACAGAGGAAGACAGUGGGCGUUUGGAAAAGAGAUGGAAGAUCUUCUUAACAAGCUUGAUCAACAGACCUCAAAUAUUGUGAAUCACAGAAAGCAAACAGUUCUGGAAGGUCUCCAUUUGUUUCUCCGUGAAGAUCAUUCUGCACUGUUCAGAAAAUGUCUGGACACAUCUCCACAAGACAGACAGACCAGAGGGAUGAAACUGGGAAUUCUUGCUAUAACUGAGGAUGAUGUCGCCCCUAGCGCACUGCCUACCUUUACAAACUUUGCUGUUGUCUUGGAGGAGGCAACUGUUCUGAAAGACAUUUCAGACCUACAAUCUGCUGUUUCUUACCUGUUUGGCCUCAUCUUAGCCUUGGAUUUUGAAUACCCAAAAGAACUCAGAUAUACUUUUGAGGUAAUUGAGAAGGUGUUUAUGGAAAUGGGCACUCACUGCUCUGCAAGAGUACAGUCCCUGAAAACUAAACUCUUUCUGUGAACGUUGAAAUCUUGCGUGAGCAUCUUUGAAGUUAAACAGAUAUUAGCAUCUUGAUGUUAAAAUCUGAAAAAUUCAAAGGGAUUGUUGAACUUGUGAAUUGUUGAACUAUGUUUGAAAAUGUUUUAAGACUGUAUAUUAUAUUUUAGUUUUUUGGUGUUAUGAAAAUGGGCACUUACUGCUCUGCAAGGGUACAGUCCCUGAAAACUAAACUCUUGCUGGGAAUGUUGAAAUUUUGGUGUGAGCGUCUUUUGAAUUAAACAAAUAUUAGCAUCUUAAUGUUAAAAUGUUAAUUAAUCAAAGGGAUUGUUAAACUGAGUUGUUGAAAUGUGAAUAUAAUGUCUUACAAAGUCAUUUUUAUUUAAUUUGUUUUGUUGUUGAUUGUGCGUUUAUUUUUCAUCUUUUCAUAUUCUUUCUUGGGCCAUUUUAUUUGUACGUUAUUUUAUUUGAAUUUCAUUUGUAUUUGUACUAUUUUUUUUUUUAGUUUAUUGUUUGUUUGAAAAUUUUCAUGCUGAUUGCAGUGUAUUUUGUAAGGUACAUGUUGACAUUGUUGACAAUGUUACAUUGUUGAAAGGUGGGCAGACUAUCCAAUGUUGAACUGCUAUGUUUUAAAGUUGCAGUUCUAAAAACAGUUUAUUUUACAUGUUUAUUGGUGUUUUAAUGUUUUAAGCAUUCUAACUUCCUGUUUUCAAAUUAAAAAAAAUUUUUUUUUUUCUUUAAUUAUUUAAUUGCCAUAAAGAACGUACAAAAAUCAAUGCCAGGGGUGAGGACAAUUGAGAAUACAAUUACUGGCUACAAAAUCAGAAAAAUAUAAUGAGAAUGACAUAUUGAAACAGUUUUAAGGGCUUUGGAAUUGUUGGAUGUAAGAAGAGUGUCCAGGUAGAAUUUAAGGUCCUUACAGAAAACAGGAAA